rnacentral:tRNA from 1 species
GCGGGUGUGGCGGAACUGGCAGACGCAGCACGCUCACAACGUGUGGGGCGAAAGCCCGUGAGGGUCCGAAUCCCUCCACCCGCA